rnacentral:rRNA from 1 species
AAGGGGGCUAGCGUUGUUCGGAAUUACUGGGCGUAAAGCGCACGUAGGCGGACUUUUAAGUCAGAUGUGAAAUCCCGGGGCUCAACCUCGGAACUGCAUUUGAAACUGGAAGUCUAGAGACCAGGAGAGGUUAGCGGAAUACCGAGUGUAGAGGUGAAAUUCGUAGAUAUUCGGUGGAACACCAGUGGCGAAGGCGGCUAACUGG